rnacentral:rRNA from 1 species
CAGUAGCCGCGGUAAAACGAGGGGGGCUAGCGUUGUUCGGAUUUACUGGGCGUAAAGGGCGCGUAGGCGGACUGAUAAGUCAGGGGUGAAAUCCCAAGGCUCAACCUUGGAACUGCCUUUGAUACUGUUUGUCUUGAGUUCGAGAGAGGUAAGUGGAACUGCGAGUGUAGAGGUGAAAUUCGUAGAUAUUCGCAAGAACACCAGUGGCGAAGGCGGCUUACUGGCUCGAAACUGACGCUGAGGCGCGAAAGCGUGGGGAGCAAACAGGAUUAGAUACCCCAGUAGUCCCUGUCUCUUAUAC